ACCAAUUGUUGCCUCGGCGGAUCAGCCCGCUCCCGGUAAAACGGGACGGCCCGCCAGAGGACCCCUAAACUCUGUUUCUAUAUGUAACUUCUGAGUAAAACCAUAAAUAAAUCAAAACUUUCAACAACGGAUCUCUUGGUUCUGGCAUCGAUGAAGAACGCAGCAAAAUGCGAUAAGUAAUGUGAAUUGCAGAAUUCAGUGAAUCAUCGAAUCUUUGAACGCACAUUGCUGCCCGCCAGUAUUCUGGCGGGCAUGCCUGUUCGAGCGUCAUUUCAACCCUCAAGCCCAGCUUGGUGUUGGGACUCGCGAGUCAAAUCGCGUUCCCCAAAUUGAUUGGCGGUCACGUCGAGCUUCCAUAGCGUAGUAGUAAAACCCUCGUUACUGGUAAUCGUCGCGGCCACGCCGUUAAACCCCAACUUCUGAAUGUUGACCUCGGAUCAGGUAGGAAUACCCGCU
rnacentral:rRNA from 1 species